rnacentral:antisense_RNA from 1 species
GUAGCCACUUUUAAGUUUCAUCAGCUAGUUCAUACUUGCGUGGAAAGAGUGGUCGUUUGCGCUGGGUCAUCACUGUGUAGUAUUGGGGAUACUUACUUCUGUAAGCCAGAAAUCUAAAAUCAGUCACUGGAGUAAAGUCAAGGUGUCAUUUGGAUUGGUUGCUUCCAGAGGCUCUGCAGGGAGAUUGUUUUUCUUGUCUUUUUCAGCUUUUAGAAGUUGCCUGCAUUCCUUGGCCCCUUCCUCACAUCAUUCCAACCAACUUCCAUCCUUACAAUCGAUUACUUUCCUGUAAUAGCUACGGUCAAAUGGGCAACUGAAGAUGAUGAUGAAGAUGAUCUUGACACCGAGAAGCAGAAGACCAAUGAAGAUGACCAAACAGCAAAAAUGGAUAAGUUAAAAGAAGGUAAAAGAAGGCCACUCGUACUUGCUGUCUCAGUAUCUAAAGGUGGUCACCUUCCAGUAGAGAGGCCCACCCACUGCAAACAAUGCCACCGAAGGUGACAUGCACUUUCUACCACCCAUCCAAAACUGUAACGUGAAUCUGCAACAGGAGAGGAAAGAAGAACCAAAACUUCCAAGGCUUUGCAUUUUUUCUUAAAAGCAUUUUUUUUUUUUUGAGAUGUAGUCUCACUCUAUUGCCUGGAGUGCAGUGGUGCAAUCUCGGCUCACUGCAGCCUCUGCUUCCUGGGUUUAAGCAAUUCUCUGCCUCAGCCUCCCAAGUAGCUGGGAUUACAGGCGCAUGCCACCACACCCGUCUAAUUUUUGUAUUUUUAGGAGAGACGGGGUUUCACCGUGUUGGCCAGGCUGGUCUUGAACUCCUGACCUCGUAAUCCACCUGCCUCGGCCUCCCAAAGUGCUGGGAUUACAGGCGUGAGCCACUGCACCUAGCCAAAAGCAUUUUUUAAAAGAAAAAUUGGCCUAUAUUUUUUAUUUCUACUGUAUAUCUUUGUGCAUAUUUUUGGAGUUCAGGCAUUUUUAAUAAUCUUGGAUGACCAAAGCAGCUUUCAGAGUGUUCUUUGCCCAACUUCUGACUUUACUUGUAGUGUGACCAUGUUCAUUAGACUCUCAAAGGAGGAAGAAAAGGAAAAACAAACGUAAAAAAUGAAAAAUAGAUCGGGCGAGGUGGUUCACGGCUGUAAGCCCAGCACUUUGAGAGGCUGAGGCGGGUGGAUCACCUGAGGUCAGGAGUUCGAGACCAGCCUGGCCAACAUGGUGAAAUCCUAUCUCUACUAAAUAUACAAAAAUUAGCCAGGUGUGGUGGUGGGUGCCUGUAGUCCCAGCUACUCAGGAGGCUGAGGCAGGAGAAUCGCUGGAACCCGGGAGGCAGAGGUUGCAGUGAGCCGAGAUUGCACCACUGCACUCCAGCCUGGGUGACAGAGUGAGACUAUCUGAAAAAAAGCAAAAAUAGGCCAGGCAUGGUGGCUCAUGCCUGUGAUCCCAGCACUUUGGUAGGCCUAGGCAGGUGGAUCACUUGAGGUCAGGGAUUCGAGACCAGCCUAGCCAACAUGGUGAAAACCUGUCUCUACUGAAAAUACAAAAAUCAGCCAGGCGUGGUGGCGGGUGCCUGUAAUCCCAGCUAUGCGGGAGGCUGAGGCAUGAGAAUUGCUUGAACUCAGGAGGCAGAGGUUGCAGUGAGCAGCGGUCAUGCCAUUGCACUCCAGCCUGGUGACAGAGUAAGACUCUGUCUCAAAAAUAAAUAAAUGCAAAAACAACAAAUCUUAUUUUUUCAGCCUGUUUGAUAUAUGUGUGAAACAAUGUUGUCCAACAAUAAACAGGAAUCUUGUUUUU